CCUACGGGAUGCAGCAGUGGGGAAUAUUGCACAAUGGGGGAAACCCUGAUGCAGCGACGCCGCGUGAGUGAAGAAGUAUUUCGGUACGUAAAGCUCUAUCAGCAGGGAAGAAAAUGACGGUACCUGACUAAGAAGCCCCGGCUAACUACGUGCCAGCAGCCGCGGUAAUACGUAGGAGGCAAGCGUUAUCCGGAUUUACUUGGUGUAAAGGGAGCGUAGACGGCAGCGCAAGUCUGGAGUGAAAUCCCAUGGCUUAACCAUGGAACUGCUUUGGAAACUGUUCAGCUAGAGUGCAGGAGAGGUGAGCGGAAGUCCUAGUGUAGCGGUGAAAUGCGUAGAUAUUAGGAGGAACACCAGUGGCGAAGGCGGCUUACUGGACUGUAACUGACGUUGAGGCUCGAAAGCGUGGGGAGCAAACAGGAUUAGAUACCCCGGUAGUC
rnacentral:rRNA from 1 species